GUGUGUGAUUUGGGCUAAAUAAACACAAUUUAUUUGACCAUUGUUGUCAUUUUAUACCCUAUUUUUGAAAAAUGUAAUUUAAACUUAACAAUGACAAACAAUUUUGGCGAUUUUGAUCGUUCCUCAUUCCAGUAAACAGUAAACUUCUCAUCGCUUGAGAACACCAAUGAAAGCUCUCAAGCAGACUUCAUCAGAAGGGGGAAACAACCUAGAAAAGAAUAAUGCAUAAAGAUAAUAAAAAACUGGGAAGACACAAAAAGGGAGCAAAAGAAGAAGGUUGGUGGAUUUGGAUUAGGGAAUCCCGUGGUUGAAGUGGGGACAUGCUCAGGCAAUUUGUUUCCCAUUAUUUUAAUGCAAGGGCGACUUCUUCCAAACAAAACAGGAUUGCUGGCAGCCGAGCGGGCCUCUGGUCGGUGCCUGCGAAGUCAAGAUCUGAAGACUUCUCUCUCAAACUCUGAGUCAUAUUUAAACGGAAGAUAAGUCGCAAAAGACACUGAACAUUAAUCAUUAAACGUUAGAUCCUUAGGGCAUCUAUAAAUCACUGAGAGCCCCUUCACCUCCCAUUAAGGAGUGUGUGGAUCUAGCCAAGUCAUAAUUUCUACAUUCAUCAGAUGUUAUUGUUUUCUUUGAAUGCAGUGUAAUGAGGCACUAACAAAAUGAUACAAGCCAAAUGCAAGGAUGGAUACGUUUGUUCUUAGGGAAAAUAUUUGUGUGCAUUUGUUUUGCUG